GUCAUUGUAGUUUAAUUGAAAAACUCAUACUAUUAUGUGAGAUGAGUUCUGGGUUCAAACCCCAGCAGUGGCC
rnacentral:tRNA from 1 species